rnacentral:rRNA from 1 species
UACGUAGGGGCCUAGCGUUGUCCGGAUUUAUUGGGCGUAAAGAGCGUGUAGGCGGCUUGACAGGUCUGCUGUGAAAACUCGAGGCUCAACCUCGAGAUGUCGGCGGAAACCGUCUGGCUAGAGUCCGGAAGAGGAGAGUGGAAUUCCUGGUGUAGCGGUGAAAUGCGCAGAUAUCAGGAAGAACACCUAUGGCGAAGGCAGCUCUCUGGGACGGUACUGACGCUGAGACGCGAAAAGCGUGGGGAGCGAACAGG